GUGAGGAAUAUUGGUCAAUGGGCGGGAGCCUGAACCAGCCAAGUCGCGUGAAGGAAGAAGGAUCUAUGGUUCGUAAACUUCUUUUGCAGGGGAAUAAAGUGCAGGACGUGUCCUGUUUUGUAUGUACCCUGAGAAUAAGGAUCGGCUAACUCCGUGCCAGCAGCCGCGGUAAUACGGAGGAUCCGAGCGUUAUCCGGAUUUAUUGGGUUUAAAGGGUGCGUAGGAGGGUUGAUAAGUCAGCGGUGAAAGUUUGCAGCUUAACUGUAAAAAUGCCGUUGAAACUGUCGGACUUGAGUGUAAAUGAGGUAGGCGGAAUGCGUGGUGUAGCGGUGAAAUGCAUAGAUAUCACGCAGAACUCCGAUUGCGAAGGCAGCUUACUAAGCUACAACUGACACUGAAGCACGAAAGCGUGGGGAUCAAACAGGAUUAGAUACCCUAGUAGUCC
rnacentral:rRNA from 1 species